GAUGAACGCUGGCGGCGUGCCUAAUACAUGCAAGUCGAGCGAACGGACGAGAAGCUUGCUUCUCUGAUGUUAGCGGCGGACGGGUGAGUAACACGUGGAUAACCUACCUAUAAGACUGGGAUAACUUCGGGAAACCGUAGCUAAUACCGGAUAAUAUUUUGAACCGCAUGGUUCAAAAGUGAAAGACGGUCUUGCUGUCACUUAUAGAUGUAUCCGCGCUGCAUUAGCUAGUUGGUAAGGUAACGGCUUACCAAGGCAACGAUGCAUAGCCGACCUGAGAGGAUGAUCAGCCACACUGGAACUGAGACACGGUCCAGACUCCUACGGGAGGCAGCAGUAGGGAAUCUUCCGCAAUGGGCGAAAGCCUGACGGAGCAACGCCGCGUGAGUGAUGAAGGUCUUCGGAUCGUAAAACUCUGUUAUUAGGGAAGAACAUAUGUGUAAGUAACUGUGCACAUCUUGACGGUACCUAAUCAGAAAGCCACGGCUAACUACGUG
rnacentral:rRNA from 1 species